rnacentral:rRNA from 1 species
UACGAAGGGGGCUAGCGUUGCUCGGAAUCACUGGGCGUAAAGCGCACGUAGGCGGAUCUUUAAGUCGGGGGUGAAAUCCUGGAGCUCAACUCCAGAACUGCCUUCGAUACUGAGGAUCUCGAGUCCGGGAGAGGUGAGUGGAACUGCGAGUGUAGAGGUGAAAUUCGUAGAUAUUCGCAAGAACACCAGUGGCGAAGGCGGCUCACUGGCCCGGUACUGACGCUGAGGUGCGAAAGCGUGGGGAGCAAACAGG